UAGUAUGUCUCUGAAGUAUUAAAAUUGAAGGCACAGUCGCAGUUUAGAAAUUGCACUUCAAAUUUGAGCUUUGCAGAGUGAAGUUUCAAUGAAAGUCAAUGGACGGCGUUAGUUGCAAACAAAUGAUUAUAUUGUGAAAACUAUCAGGACUAUGGCUAAGCCGUUGACAUGUUUAGUGGCAGGAGGGAUAGCUGAACGUUUUGAUAUAAGAUUUGUGUAGGUGGGCUUGGAAAUGAGGGAGUGGUGGCAGUUUAGAAAUCAUGUCCUGAUUUUUCAGCUUUUGCCAGCUCCCACUCUAGCUUUGCCAUUCAUUCCCAU